UACAGAGGUCCCAAGCGUUGUUCGGAUUCACUGGGCGUAAAGGGUGCGUAGGUGGCUGGGUAAGUUUGAUGUGAAAUCUCCGAGCUUAACUCGGAAACUGCAUUGAAUACUAUCCUGCUCGAGGGUUGGAAGGGGGACUGGAAUUCUCGGUGUAGCAGUGAAAUGCGUAGAUAUCGAGAGGAACACCAGUGGCGAAGGCGAGUCCCUGGACAAUACCUGACACUGAGGCACGAAAGCUAGGGGAGCAAACAGG
rnacentral:rRNA from 1 species